CCCUGGUCCAAAUUGCUCAGAUCAUAUAAUUAUUUGUCAGCAAAAAGCAGAGUUUAAACAAUUUGACACUGUUGCACCAGUUUCUGUUACAAUGGAUACUUUUCUAAAUACACAAAACGUUCUAAAUAUAGAAUAGAAACUGUUAUACUACAUAACGUUACAAGUUUUUCUUAGGAAGAUUACAGGUACCACACAAGUUUCUAGAUUCAAAAUUUAACAGGUCAAACAUUAGAAGGUGGAACAAGGGAAACAAAAAAGGAUUAGCUGUUAAGACAAUAUAAUACACUAAAUUCUGAUAUUGUUACCAAUGAAUUCUCCUUUUGCAUCCCAUGGACGAUAUUCAAAAGACUUUCCAAUGAUACUGCGAUUCUCGUUUAUAUUCCCAUCAUUGCAGCGGUAUUCUGGAAAGUAAUCCAGGAAUCCUUUGCUUCCUAGUUCGUCAAUUCCAUUGAAAAGGAAGUUCUUUAUCACAUCCUAUAGGUUAGAUGUGAAGUAUCAACUACUCCUCUAGUUGAUGUGAAACAUUAUAAAAUUGAGCAAACCAAGAAUGAUACCUUUGCAAGACUUUCACCAAUCAACCUUUUCAGAACUCCAUGGCCUGGAUCCUUUUCUGCUCUCCAUGUUAGAUACUUAUGUUGUGCUUCACAGUUGCAUAUAAUAUGAGAUACAUCUUUCUCUUCCACAGCUAGGUCAACCAGCUGAAGCCAUGCCUUGUAGUAAUCCACAAAUGCAGAAUACAAAUCAUCAUGUCUGUACUGGCUUUUGGUAAACUUGGUCCAUAUCACAAUUGGUGAGAAAAAUUGCAAGGACUCACUUGUGAGCUUUCCACCCCAAGGAAAAAGCUCUGCAUACUUGAGACCUACAGGCAAUAAACUUUCAUAGUACUUUUCUUUGUAAUCACUUCGGUCAAUGACAUUAUGCAAGGGAUUAAGGUCCAACACGAUGAUGUUCAUGCUGGCAGCAGUGAAAAAAUUGGCACAAAAUAUAGGUACAUCAAAUUCUGGCCUGGCAAAGGCAGCAAAAUCCAAAACCUGCAUUGCUUCAUUUUCAAUGCUCAAACUACGUAGGAGUCUAAUCUUGGGAGCCUGGAAUGACAGCAUUUUAAGCUCCGUUCUUCCAUCGAUUGCAGUCAUGGAGCUAAAGUUUUCCUGGAGAGGAGAAGGGACCAAAGCGGUGUGGCUUUUGGUUUCAUUAAUAGCAAAAUGAAUGAAUUUCUGGUAAGAGAAAGCAGAGACUUGAAAUACGUGAUGCUUGAUCUUCUGGCUUCUGCAAUUAUCGUUAGUGCUAGUGAUGAAGGAGGUUAGUAACUGAGAUUUUAGUGAUAAAGAAGAGCAUAGCAAAGAAGAUGAAUGCAUUGAAGUAAAAAAACUGUGGAGUUCAGUCUCAGCAUCACCGAUUUCAAGCGUUUCGUUAAGCUUUCUUAUUGAUUUGAUUAUUACUAUGUAAAAAGAUGACUGCCGUUCGAGUUUGCCCGCUUUGGCUGUUUCUUGAUACUGG
rnacentral:misc_RNA from 1 species